rnacentral:rRNA from 1 species
UGAGGAAUUUUGCGCAAUGGGAGCAAUCCUGACGCAGCAACGCCGCGUGGGUGAAGAAGGCCUUCGGGUCGUAAAGCCCUGUCAGGUGGGAAGAAGGGUCCUAUCAGGAAAGGGGUGGGAUUUGCCGGUACCACCAGAGGAAGCACCGGCUAACUCCGUGCCAGCAGCCGCGGUAAUCCGGCGGGUGCGAGCGUUAUUCGGAAUUACUGGGCGUAAAGCGCGUGUAGGCGGGGGAGCAAGUCUGAUGUGAAAGCCCCGGGCUUAAACCGGGAAGUGCAUGGGAAACUGUUAGGAUUGAGUACGGGAGAGGAUGGGGGAAUUCCCGGUGUAGAGGUGAAAUUCGUAGAGAUCGGGAGGAAUACCAGCGGCGAAGGCGCCCGUCUGGACGGUUACUGACGCUGAGACGCGAAAGCGUGGGGAGCAAACAG